CUCACCUAGAACCAAGGCAGAAGGCGGGCAUCACUUCGGGAGUAAUUUCCCUAACGCUUUUCCAAACGUACGAGGCCUGAGUACAAACCAGCACCAAGAGUUACCCGAGCAAACAACUUCCUUCAAAGGAUGGAUUUUAUUUUAUUUUUUUUAAUGUUUAUUUGUUUUUGAGAGACAGAACGUGAGCAGGGGCGGGACGGGUGGGGGGUGGGGGAGAGACACGGAAUCCAAAGCAGGCUCCAGGCUCCAAGCUGUCGGCACAGAGCCCAACACGGGGCUCGAACCCACCACCCGUGAGAUCAUGAGCUGAGCCGAAGUCAGACGCUCAACCGACUGAGCCACCCAGGCGCCCCUAUUUUUUAAUUUUUUUAAACAUUUAUUCAUUUUGGAGAGACAGGGACAGAGUGCAAGCAGGGGAGGGGCAGAGAGAGAGGGAGACAUAAUCUGAAGCAGCCUCCAGGCUCCAAGCUGUCAGCACAGAGCCCGAUGCGGGGCUCGAACUCACGAACCACAAGAUCAUGACCUGAGGCUGAAGUCAGACGCUUCACGGACUGAGCCACCCAGGCGCCCCCAAAGGAUGGAUUUUAAACGCCAUGCUUUCUUGAGUCUUCAGGAAGGGUUCUGAGCUCCUCACACAGAAGAUUCCUACUUAAGGUCACAGUUAAUUCUCACGACAACCCUGGAGGUGGCUCCGCGACACGUUCCACAGUGGAGACUGAGGUGAAGGAAGAGGUCAAGACCGUACCCGUGAACAGCACAAACGUUCUUUGCACGAUACCCUGGCUGUUUCUGCUCCUACACCCAGCACACGACAGCCACGAAAACCACGUUCAACACCCCAGAAACAAGCCAGGCAGGAGGAUGCGGAGGAAGAUAAACAGUGAGAAGUGAUAAGCGGUCUCCAGAAUUCAUUAGCUGCCUCCUGUCCCCCCGGGGUUGUUGCUGCCUCACGUGCCGGCCCGUAAAGAAGACCCCCCCGAGCUGGGCCAAAGCCGGAGAGAGAACGAGUAUGUGCCAGCCUCAGAAAUCACGCGUGCGGCACCCCUAACACAGGCAGACCGUAACGAGCGUGCCUUCUGGAGUCAUGGGCCUCACAGAGCAGGUCAAGUCUCUGUCGGGCUCGCUGGCUGGCCCCUCCUAGGGAGGGCCAGCCUCAUGAGGGUGAUCUUCCGGAGAACCUGCCUGUGCAGCUUGAGAACUUUCUAGAAGGACAGAAGCUGGUGUUUGUGGUGGGGAUGGGGGGCGAGGGGAUGAUACAGCAGCCAGAAUGCAUUCCUGACCUGGCCACAGGUGACAGACUAUUUCUCCGAAAGCCUGUCGGCUCCCUCCGUGGGCAGAGCCCCCCAGCACAAAGACCCGCGGGCUGAGGCCUCCUGCAGCAGGGCCUUCCUUCCCAGGCAGGGACGGUCCUGGCGGGGGGGGGGGGGGGCGGCGGCAGGGCAGGGAACAAACCCCGCGGGGUUCUGCAGGCCACAGGAGGCGAGGAGGCUCCCCUGAACACCUCCCCUUCUGGCCAGCCCUGGUACCCCUUCUUCCUCCCCCUCCCUCCCUCCCUCCCCCCUCACCACUCCAGGAAAGCUCCGGUCACCCUGAGCGACGCCUCCCGGUGCACGCGGCAUCAUUACCACAACUGUGCGCCAUCGACACAAACCCAAGACGGGCCCACUUGGAACGGUUUUUCUUCACCUUUCCCGGCAGAGGCCGGAGGAUCCAAACGGCACGAAGAUAAAAAGGGCAUUUAGGGGAAGUGUCUGAUAGAUGUAAAAUUACAAGACAGCAGAGCUGAGAGAAGCCUUUGAGGUUAUCUGCCGCGGCCAACUCUUGCUGGAAAAAUGGAAGCCCAGGGAGGGGUGGGGGCCCGCCCGGGGUCAGCUGGGAGCACCCAGCGGCACCCGGAGCUGACACCGGGUCCCCGCCACCGGGGCUUUUCCUCCCACACAGGGAAAGAGCCCAGGAGGGGUGGGUGCGGGGCUCUUUCCAGACAGGCUCCAUGCCGAGCCUCUCGGUUCCCGAUUAGGGGUUUAGGUGAGACACCCUACACAGCCUACCCGGUAUCCGCUAGUCUCAAAAAUUCCCCAUUCAUUCAUUCAUUCAUUCUGCAAACAGUCGAGUGCAUGCUAUGUGCGGGUACCCCCCUAGGCAAUGGAGAUGUGUUGCUAUGUAACAGCCGUGGCCCCCGGCCUCACGGAGCCUGGAACCUCGUGGGGGACACAGAGCCAAGCUGCUGAAGAAACAACCCGCAACCACCAGUUGUGAUUCAUGCUGCAGGGAAACAACUGGGGUGGAGAGAGAAAACAGAGGUCAGUAAGACCCAGAGGAUGAGAAACCCUGCAGCAUCCAGGGGAAGCACGUUCCAGGGAAAGGGGCUGGAACCGGUCUCUCCAAUCCGCCUGGAAGGUGCUAGACAGACUGAUGGGCCCACCCCCCCAGCUGCUGUCUUCUGUGGGCCGGGGAUGAGCCUGAGGGUCCCACUGCUGACAAGAUCCCCGCAGAUGCUGACGCUGCCGGAACCCUGCUUCGCGAACCCCCGAUUCCCAGGCGAGAGGCUGGCCGGAGGACCUAACAGGAGAGAGUGUGGCUGCAGAGAGCAGUGACAGAGAGGGGGUGGCUGGGAGGAGGUGGAGAAGGAGGUGGGGACCGGCUGGUGCACUCCAAUGCUGCUGGAAGGCAGGGGAUGUCUUAGGAAGGGUAGCACCAGGGUCCGCCGAUGCUUGAAAAAGCUCUCCCUCCCUGCGCUGUGGCUGAGCUGGGACUCACAGCUGGAGGGAGAUUUGCGUCCCUCACCCCAGAAUUGAAGGUUCGCACCCAAGAGGAGGGUUUCCAACUGCUCCUCACUGCCUGGCUCUUCCUGGUGAGCAAGGGGCUGAAGGGUCACGGCCAGUCUGCCGUCUGUGACGCCCCCCACCCCGUCCUGUCGACCGAUCCUGCCCCUGGACACCUCUCUCUGACCUAAGGUGUCGGCUCAGCCACCCCCUCGCCAUCCUCAGCAAAACAUGAGAUGGAAUGAAAAAGCCAGUUCAGACCUGUGCACUUAGGAGCUAGCCAGGGAAAGGAGGGAAUGCCAUGAGUCCGAAAGGCCGCAGGACCUGGGAUGAACCCUAGGCCUGCUACCCGCUCUGUGUCUCUGGGUGUGAGCGUCCAUGUCUGUGAACCUCAGUGUCCUCAUCUGUAAAAUGGGCAUGGAUUUCAGGGCAGCACGGACGACAGAACACGAAGAGCUCAAGACUGUGCCUGGCGCAGAAUCAGCGGCGAACAAAGCUCGGAUCCCAUCGUCCCUCUCUCACUGGCAAAGGCUUGUGAUCAGGAAGAAUUUCCAGCACACCCCAAAGUGGAGGCCCAUGACGACUCCUGUGUACGGAUCACCCGGUGUCUACCGUGUUUCAGUGCUCCCAGCUGGAGGCCAACAGGGCAGCGGAGGGGAGGGCACCCCUUUCUUGUCUGUGGGACAAAGUGGCUGUGGAAAUCCCGCCUCCUAGAAACCUAUUCAAAGGCAGGUGAGACCUGCAUCCGGCCAGCUCUGUCCCCGUGGCCCUGACUGUGCCGAGGCGCUGACCCGGUGAGCUCUGGGCGGUGCAGUGGGCCCCGGGUUCAGACUGCACGUGUACAUCAGACACUCACUCUUCUGGGACAGAAACACGACGUGAAGCCACUGAAAUGCCACUGAAAUAAGCCGUACCCUCGCAGUCAGGAGCUCUGCCCGGCCCUGCCCCGCCCUGCCCUUCCAAAUCCAGCCAGCUUGGGGCGCAACCUUGUAGAAGGCCCCCGAAGCAAAGCCCUCACCUAUCCCUCCCUUUCGGAGCACCUGCCACAUAACCUCUUGAAGAGAGAACUCAGUAGUAACACGGCCUGGAAGAGGACGGUUCCAGCACCUUCUCUGAACCACACCAGCUGGACGCAUCACCUCAACUCUCCCUGUUCUGCCUCCCGCCCCCUCCCUCUCCCUGCCAGGUCACCCCAUGGCCGUGCUUCUUCCAGCACUGAGCACGGUGCUGAGCACAGAGUCGGCACCCACUGUAGGCCCUUGGAGACGAAUCAAGUCUCAGCUGUGAAUGAGGCCAGUCCCCAAACCACGCCACACCUAGGAAGUUUCAAGAAACGUCUCCAGGUAGUGGCUCUUCUCUCCUGCAGGCCCCGCACAGAUGACCCUCACGGUCAGGAGCAAUCAUACUAAAAAGCAACAGCUAAGAACCAGAGCCAUUUUGAAGCAAAUGCUGCACUCGGCCUGCCGGCCAGCAAACACAUGGCUUCCCCAUCAUCCCACUGCUCGAUCCGCUCCAGUCCAACCCCUGUCCACGUCCUUUCCGCUAGUCCUCCUAAUUGUUUCUAGAAACUUCCACCGUCUCCUACCCUGACUCAGCCCCCAGUCCUCUUACAGAAACCCCAUCCCACCCCCACCCCGGCCUCCCUGUCUCUGGGAGACACCCCGCCGGCCCUGGGCACCACACAUCGGGCAUCUUUCUGAAACACAGAUUUGCUACGACUUGUUAAACCCUCCCUGGGGACCCGUGUCAGGCCAGACUUCCAAGGCUCACACCCCCCUCUUACCAUCGCCCCACCACCCACGCAGCCAUGUGCUGCGCCCAGCUGUGGCAAACGCUCUCCGUGCUUAACUCUUCGGCCUCUGCCCGAGCUGCUCCCUGCACCUGGACAGAUCACCACCUCCACGUCCCCAGCCCGUCAUCCUUCAGGCCUCGGCACAAACAUGCCUUUCCCAGACGUUCCCCUGGUGCCUUGUGUUCAGGUGGCCUCUGCUGGGCGCCAGGGCUCCUGCCCCAGCCGCUAGGUCACUCUCCCUGCCACGACUGGGACUGCCCGGGGGCACAAGGACCAGGCCUGUCCUGUCACGGCUGCCCUCCCAGCCCACGUGCCAUGCACAGACACGGUCAAAUGACGAAUGCAUGUGCAGGGAGGCAGAACACGCUGCCCCGAAAUAUACCACUCUGGCAUGAGGAUUAUUUUGAGCCCAAGGCAACUGAGAAGAAACACAAACAUAAGAAAAGCUCUCCGCCCUCACCCUAUUUGCCUCCAAGCCGUACAUAAACUUGUCAGGGUGCCCUUCCUCCCCUCUCCACCAGGACGGACCAAAUUAAUCACUGGAGACAACCCUAGACCUUUAUCAGCCUUAAGACAGCAUCAGAGGAUGGGACGUAACAAACCUCGAUAAAACCAGCCCUUAUCAACCAUUAGCUCCCCCAUACGUUUACCUGCCUUCCCACGAUUUGCUGCCCUAGAAACUCAAAGUCCUCUCGCUUUGUCUGGUCACCUCUCUGCAAAUGUCCUUUUCUCCCGUCGGGAUGUUACACAAGCCUGAGUUCUAACCGUCCCUCUGAGCUACUCAUCACGCACGGGUGCAACACACAUGUUAAUAAACUUGUGGUUUUUCUCUCUCUCGUUAGUCUUUUGUCGGUCUAAUUCGCAAGGCCCGGACCGGCAACUCUAAGAUGGCUGCAGGACAAGGGUUCUUCAUUUCUCCCCUACGCACGAAGGAACGAUCACUCUGACCCUUACAACAGCCUGGAACGGCAGUCUUAUGACCCGCUUUGAGGACGAAGCAAUGGCAUCUCAGAGAAGCUAAAACGACUGUCCAGAGUCACACAGCUUAGUAAACGCCCCAGCUGGGAAGCGAACCCACCCCUCGGUCUGGCUCCAAAGGCCAUUCCUCUACCCUGUGCCGCUGGGCAGAUUCUAGGUUUAUCUGUGCCCCUGUCCGCAUCUUCUCUGACACACUGAAAACUCCAGCCCCAAUCCAACCUGCUGCCUCUGUGCAUCCUGCCGGAACCAGGACCCUGCGUUCCAGAUACGACGGCCUUGAGAACAAGGAAGAGGGAGGGAAACCUCUUGACCCCGAGCACCCCACGCCCAGGGGGUUCCCAGCCUCCACCUCGAGCACAUCGGUCUGUGCCGUCCCACAUGCUGCGCUCCGCAGAGCAGUGGUGAACCACGCCCCGGGACGGGGGCAGCACCAGCUUCACUGUGUUAGGCUCUCCGGCAGCACCAAUCUGCUGAAAAGGCAGACAACCCAGGGUGCUAUGCGGUAGAAAGCCACCCCCAGCUGAAGGGUGCUGAAUUCACCACCAACAGCUUCUUCUGCAUUAAAAAAAAAAAAGGCAAGAAAUGUACAGCCACAUUCCUGAAGGCAAGUAAGAGAAAAGCAAAAGAGAGAUCAACGGGAGAUAGUUUUCCAUUUGGGCCCUGUCGCAGGAACGCUGAAAGUCACCGGUGGGUGAUUCGUUAAACCACCGAAACAAUCCGCCAUCGAUCAGGGAACGAUGCUUAAGACGAUUCGAGAGCUGGGUCCCCGCGUCUGCCAAUCCUAAUUGCGGGGUGGGUUUUUGGAGCCUCACCGAGUGGCAAUCUCCCUAAAUGUGCCCUCAUUCUCUGCAGGGGGAGGAGAGAGCAUUGUAAUGGGGAGAUGAGCAGGGAAGAGAGCCUGGUGCCAGCUGAAAGGGCCCAGCCUUUCUAUACAGGUUUUAUGCCCGUGCCUAUUUGUUUGUGCACUAGCCACCGCGGCUCAGAGGCAUGGGGAGAGGCAGUCGCACAUUAAAAUGCUUCUCUGCGUUUAUAUGCUAAAACCCCGUCUACCGUGCCACCUGCAUAAUGACCACCAAGUGGCCUGCUCUGUAAGGGGGCGGGCUUCCGGGGUACGCACAGGCAUGGCAUUGUUGAGGGUGUUGUUGUAGACGCAGGCACGCAGGGAAUAGUCGAGCAUGCAAUUCUCAAACAGCUGCAGAGCUUCUGUCACCUUCUCGUGGAAGUCAUCAGCAGAUUUAUUCGAACUUGCAAAGUAGAGAUAGUCGGAGUACAACCUGUGAAUAAAAUAAACGGAGACUUGUACCACCCGGGACUGUGAAAUCACGCGACGCGGGUGACGAUGGAAAUCGACGUGCAAUGACAUUACCUCGUCUCGUUCAUUAGGGCACUGCCAUUUCUCUUGGUUCCCCCGCAGAUGAGCCCCAUCCCUACUUCCUCCCACACCUCCCCACCCCUCACCGGGCCACCCACGCUCUCCUGGAUUCGGACAUGUCUACACUGGCCCCCCGACCAACCACCGGUGCCAUCCAGCCACUUCAGCGCGCAGCUGUUUUCACUGGAACGGUGAGCUCAGAAACACCAGAUUGUGAAAACUGUGCGACGGCGAAGACGGGCCACGAAAAUGUUAUGCUCCUUCCGGUUUCUCUCUCCUCCAUCAGAGGCAACAAUAACCAGAACAGCUGUUGCUCCUCCAAUCUGAUAGUUUCUCAUGAGAGUCCUGGCCCAUUCCACAGACGUUCCAAACAUUAAAAAACAACAACAACAAA